GACGAACGCUGGCGGCGUGCUUAACACAUGCAAGUCGAACGGAAAGGCCCUGCUUUUGUGGGGUGCUCGAGUGGCGAACGGGUGAGUAACACGUGAGUAACCUGCCCUUGACUUUGGGAUAACUUCAGGAAACUGGGGCUAAUACCGGAUAGGAGCUCCUGCUGCAUGGUGGGGGUUGGAAAGUUUCGGCGGUUGGGGAUGGACUCGCGGCUUAUCAGCUUGUUGGUGGGGUAGUGGCUUACCAAGGCUUUGACGGGUAGCCGGCCUGAGAGGGUGACCGGCCACAUUGGGACUGAGAUACGGCCCAGACUCCUACGGGAGGCAGCAGUGGGGAAUAUUGCACAAUGGGCGGAAGCCUGAUGCAGCAACGCCGCGUGCGGGAAGACGGCCUUCGGGUUGUAAACCGCUUUCGCCUGUUACGAAGCGUGAGUGACGGUAAUGGGUAAAGAAGCACCGGCUAACUACGUG
rnacentral:rRNA from 1 species